GAUGAACGCUGGCGGCGUGCCUAAUACAUGCAAGUCGAGCGAACAGACGAGGAGCUUGCUCCUCUGACGUUAGCGGCGGACGGGUGAGUAACACGUGGAUAACCUACCUAUAAGACUGGGAUAACUUCGGGAAACCGGAGCUAAUACCGGAUAAUAUAUUGAACCGCAUGGUUCAAUAGUGAAAGACGGUUUUGCUGUCACUUAUAGAUGGAUCCGCGCCGCAUUAGCUAGUUGGUAAGGUAACGGCUUACCAAGGCAACGAUGCGUAGCCGACCUGAGAGGGUGAUCGGCCACACUGGAACUGAGACACGGUCCAGACUCCUACGGGAGGCAGCAGUAGGGAAUCUUCCGCAAUGGGCGAAAGCCUGACGGAGCAACGCCGCGUGAGUGAUGAAGGUCUUCGGAUCGUAAAACUCUGUUAUUAGUGAAGAACAAAUGUGUAAGUAACUACGCACGUCUUGACGGUACCUAAUCAGAAAGCCCCGGCUAACUACGUG
rnacentral:rRNA from 1 species